AAUUUUGGACAAUGGGCGCAAGCCUGAUCCAGCCAUGCCGCGUGAGUGAAGAAGGCCUUCGGGUUGUAAAGCUCUUUCGGACGGAAGGAAAUCGCGCAGGCUAAUACCCUGCGCGGAUGACGGUACCGUCUUCAGAACCACCGGCUAACUACUUGCCAGCAACCGCGGUAAUACUUAGGGGGCGCGCGUUAAUCGGAAUUACUGGGGGUAAGACGUGAGGAGGAGGUGGAUUAAGACAGGCGUGAAAUCCCCGGGCUUAACCUGGGAACUGCGGUUGUGGCUGGUCAGGUAGAGUACGGCAGAGGGGGGUGGAAUUCCACGUGUAGCAGUGAAAUGCGUAGAGAUGUGGAGGAACACCGAUGGCGAAGGCAGCCCCCUGGGCCGAUACUGACGCUCAUGCACGAAAGCGUGGGUAGCAAAAAGG
rnacentral:rRNA from 1 species